GAUGAACGCUAGCGACAGGCUUAACACAUGCAAGUCGAGGGGCAGCGAGGGAGUGCUUGCACUUCUGUCGGCGACCGGCGCACGGGUGAGUAACACGUAUGCAACCUGCCCUUGUCAGGGGAUAAGCGAGGGAAACCUCGUCUAAUACCGCAUAUAUGAUUUAGAGGCAUCUUUUAAUCAGGAAAGAAUUAUCGGACAAGGAUGGGCAUGCGGGACAUUAGGUAGUUGGGGGUGUAACGGACCACCAAGCCGACGAUGUCUAGGGGUUCUGAGAGGAAGGUUCCCCCANACUGGUACUGAGACACGGACCAGACUCCUACGGGAGCAGCAGUGAGGAAUAUUGGACCAAAUGGGGGAAACCCUGAUCCAGCGACGCCGCGUGAGUGAAGAAGUAUUUCGGUAUGUAAAGCUCUAUCAGCA
rnacentral:rRNA from 1 species